ACGUGAAACCUUGUCUGAAUCUGGGAAGACCACUUUCCAACCCUAAAUACUACUACCAAACCGAUAGUGAACAAGUACCGUGAGGGAAAGGUGAAAAGAACGGGGGUGACCCGAGUGAAAUAGAACCUGAAACCAUUUGCUUACAAUCAUUCAGAGCACGAUUCUUUAUGACGUGUGAUGGACUGCCUUUUGCAUAAUGAGCCUGCGAGUUGUGAUAUCUGGCAAGGUUAAGGAAAUCCGGAGCCGUAGCGAAAGCAAGUCUUAAUAGGGCGUUUAGUCAGAUAUUGCAGACCCGAAACGAAGUGAUCUAUCCAUGAGCAGGUUGAAACCGGUGUAAGAGCCGGCGGAGGACCGAACCCGCUGACGUUGAAAAGUCUUGGGAUGACUUGUGGAUAGGGGUGAAAGGCCAAUCAAACUUCGUGAUAGCUGGUUCUCUCCGAAAUAUAUUUAGGUAUAGCGUUAUGUAGUAAUUAGAGGGGGUAGAGCACUGAAUGGGCUAGGGCAUACACCAAUGUACCAAACCCUAUCAAACUCCGAAUACCUUUAAUGUAAUCAUAGCAGUCAGGCGGCGAGUGAUAAAAUCCGUCGUCAAGAGGGGAACAACCCAGACUACCGACUAAGGUCCCAAAAUCUUAUUUAAGUGGAAAACGAUGUGAAGUUACUUAAACAACCAGGAGGUUGGCUUAGAAGCAGCCAUCCUUUAAAGAUAGCGUAAUAGCUCACUGGUCUAGUGAUUUUGCGCGGAAAAUAUAACGGGGCUAAAAUAAGUACCGAAGUCGUAGACUUGCACACAACUUAGUUCUUUAUAAAACAAAGUGUAUAAGUUAUAUUUAAAACUAGCGAUAGCGUUUUUGCAAAGCAAAAAGUUUUAAAAUAUCUUAAGCUAAAAGAGUUAAGUUGUGUGCAAGUGGUAGGAGAGCGUUGUAUUUAGCGUUGAAGAUGUACCGGUAAGGAGCGUUGGAGCAAAUACAAGUGAGCAUGCAGGCAUGAGUAGCGUUAAAUCAGGUGAGAAUCCUGAUCGCCGAAAACCCAAGGUUUCCUACGCGAUGCUCGUCAUCGUAGGGUUAGUCGGGUCCUAAGCAAAGUCCGAAAGGGGUAUGCGAUGGAAAAUUGGUUAAUAUUCCAAUACCAAUUAUUAUGUGCGAUGGAAGGACGCUUAAAGUUAGUGGAGCUAACUGAUGGAAUAGUUAGUCUAAGGUCGUAGGUUGAGUUAUAGGCAAAUCCGUAACUCUUUAUCCGAAAGCUUAAAGGCUUACAAAGCUCUUCGGAGUAGCGUAAGAAUCCAUGAUACUAUAGAGCCAAGAAAAGUUUCUAAGUUUAGUAAUAAUUGCCCGUACCGUAAACCGACACAGGUGGGUGGGAUGAGUAUUCUAAGGCGCGUGGAAGAACUCUCUUUAAGGAACUCUGCAAAAUAGCACCGUAUCUUCGGUAUAAGGUGUGCCUACCAGGGUGCAAGCCCUAGAGGUUACAACAAAGAGUCCCUCCCGACUGUUUACCAAAAACACAGCACUCUGCUAACACGUAAGUGGAUGUAUAGGGUGUGACGCCUGCCCGGUGCUCGAAGGUUAAUUGAUGGAGUUAGCAUUAGCAAAGCUCUUGAUCGAAGCCCGAGUAAACGGCGGCCGUAACUAUAACGGUCCUAAGGUAGCGAAAUUCCUUGUCGGUUAAAUACCGACCUGCA
rnacentral:rRNA from 1 species